GGAAGCUAUAGGAGCAAAAAGACAAAGAACAAAAGGGUAUUAUCACACACGUCAUAUUUAAUUUAUAACACCUGCAAGCCCAUUUUUCCUUAUUAUUGAUAGUUCCCACUAUACUUUUAUUGAACCCAUUUUUUAAACAUUUUUCCAGUUAAAUCCAAUUGUUUUAGAUAGAAAAGUCCAAACUAUUUAUUUUCCAGUACAAUAGCUUGUUUCCCCAUUUUUGGUUUCAUUAAAUAAUAUAAUUUCAAUUUUCUCUAUAACCUUUCCAAAUCCUAAAUAUUGAGUAUUGAAGUUUACUUCUUUUACAUAAUUUCUUAGACAUGAUACUACUUAUAUAAAAAAAAAUUUGUUCAAUUCUGAUAAUUAAACAAUAGUAGCAUGAUUUGCAAUCAAUGAUAUGUCUGGAAAAUCCAUCUACCUUCGUCAUUUGUUUUACCCACAUCUGCAGGGCCAUUGUAUGAAUGAUGUGCCAUAUUGCCACUUCGAUCAUCAUCUGCAAGCAAUACAUAAAAGAAACGCAUAUAAAAACUUCCAACAAACACUUAUGAAAUUUCACAUCACUAGGAAGGGAUACGUGCAAAAUUGAUAAUAAAAUAGUCAAUGAGGUAUGGACAGGGGAGUACCCUUAUCAGGAUAUGCCUUUGGAACUGAUUGGUCACAGGUUCCAAUAUCUGUAGUUUCAGCAUGCUGUAACAAGAGCAAAGAAAAAGAAUAAAGGAGAACCAACUCUUGUUUAGGAGAAUAAUAAUACAGGUCAUUUUCUGAAACAAAAUAAAGUGCAAGUAUAGCUAAGUUAAUAUAUUGAUGUCUUACCAAUGCAUUGUCAUCAGUUAGCGACUGCAUCAAUUGUUUUUUAAAUGUCUCCAACUAGAAAAUAGAAAAAAGGAAAGAUGUCAGGUCUACAUAAAAACCGUGUGGGAAAAAAUAAAAAACAAAUAGCAUUUUAAUCAUCAAGUCAGUAUUAUAUGUACUCUUACAUUGAAAAAUAUGCAUGCAGUAAAAAGGAAUUUAAGAAAAAAGGCAAAUUUAAUACAUAGAAACACACUUGCACACACCAAUUGUUGUGGGAGUUUGAAAUCAUGAAGUAAAGAAAAAGAUAUAUUAAACCUAUUAGUGAAUAAAAAUAAAGAUAAAUUAAAAUCUCCACUACUAAACGCUACUUAUAUUACACUUUUCUUCCUUUUGUUAUGAAAAUCACACUCCUUACCUUAGAGAUUGAUAUAUGCUACACAUUUAUCCAAUUUCAUGUUAACGAGUCUCAUUUAAACACAAUGUUUUCUCUUUCUUUGAAUCUCAAUAACGUCAAUUGGUAUGUUUUGAACCCCUAUUAUCAACUUUGGGACUUUAUGAUGCAAAACCCAGGGCCCAAAAUCACUAAUGUUUAUGUGAGAUGGCCCAAGAAAGGAACCGCAGUUGAUGAGAGUUUUAAUGGGAAUGAUGCACCAGAUCCUAAGAGUGAGAGUCAAAAGUAACUUAAUAGGAGCAGUAGUGGGAGUAGUAGGCAUGGGAUUGUGGGUAGGGAGAGAGAAUAUAUGCAAGGGGUCAAGAGUGGAAGAAGGCGGUAGGGGGAAAUUGGUUGGAACUUUAGGUCUCUCAAAUUGCACAAGAGUUUUAUUGUUCUUUGUGGUGACUAACUAGAUGGUCGGACUUGCAAGAGAGAGAUGAGCACAAUGGUUGCAGUGGGUGCUACUUAAUCACACUGGAGAGACAUAGAUCUGAAAAAAAAAAAAAAAGAGGUGACCGAAAAAAGAGCCGGUGUCGUGCAGCUUGAUGGUGCCAAAGAAAGGUGGACAAUCGGCAAUGACAAGACGAGUCCAGUGGUGCUGGAAAUGACAGCUGCUGCAUAGCAGAAUAUGGCUCACCAGAGAAGAACAGUUUGCUCGCCAGAAAAAGGUGGCCAGCGGCAAACAGCUGUGAACGGUAGCCUGCAACAGACAUUUGGCAGACUUGACUAGAGACAACAGAGCGGGAGCAGGAUCAAACCCACUAUGAUACCAUGUUGGAAUAUAUAUUACAUUGUUUAAGUGUCUAAGUUCUAUACUCAGUUGCAUAUUGUCUAGGUUCUAACUAGGAUUUAUAUAUAUAUAUAUACUUAGGCUUUUCAGAAUACAAAAAAAUGCCCGCUAUAGCGCCCGCUAUCACGCCGGAGCGGAGCAGCCCCUACGGCGAAGACCCCUGUCACUGGGUGGAAUGAAGGAGAGGUCAUCGUGCUUACAAUUGCGGCAAAGCGGGACAGCGCAAUCAUGGGUUUUGUUGUGAUUGUCCCACCACAAUCCUAGUUUUGAACGAAAAUUCAAAAAUGCCCUCAUUAUUACAUCAUUAGUGAGAGUUAUUUUGGGUAAAAUCGUUUUGUUUUGUUUGGGUCCCUUCUAAAAUCGAAACCAGACUCAAGAGAACAACUCAGAGAAGUGAGAACCCUAGGAGAAACGGCACACUCUAUUCCUUCUACAGCGUCAAGCACACCUCUCUGUUCCUUCUCUGGCAACCGGCGACCGUCAUCCUCCCUCCUUUGUUCGUUUCUUUCAUUCAAUCUCAGACGCACCUUUAUGUUCUUUGCUUGUAGAUUCUCCGUUCUCUUUGAUCCUAUGUUUCUUUCUUUUCUUUUUUUAUUUUUUUUCUUCUCUCAUUCUUUCCUUUUAUUGCUUGCCUCCUUGCUCUCAUUAUUCUCUUAUUCUUUUUUUUCUUCUCAUUUGGGUGUUUUACUGUGCAUAGUGCCACUGCCAUGGCUUCUAAUGAUCAACAAAAAAAAAGAUACCUACACAAUGGGGUCUUCAACUGGAAUGUUCAAGCCUACGGGUGAUAAGGUUGAUAUUUUUUGGAAGUGGAACAGCUUGAAGGAUAAAAAUAAUAGGAAGUGUUACCUAUGAUUUUGGUCAUAAAACAUCUACCGGAGGAAUUACUAGAGCCAAAAAACAUCAACUCAACAUUAUAAGAGAUGCUAAUUCUUGUAGAAAAGUACCAGAGGAUGUUAAAUUAGAAAUGCAGACAGCUUUUGACAAGAAAAAAGCUGAUAUUGAGGCCAUGGAGUCCACACAAGAAGAAAAUGAAGAAGAGGAAGUUAGCAUCCACGAGAUUGCAAGACUUAGAAAAAGUGGAAAAAAGCCUCCAAUAUCAUAAAGUGAAGGCUCUUCAGUUGCUGCCAAGAAGAGGACCACAAAUAACAGAGGAGCUCUUGAUUAUUUUUCUCCAAAAAACCUGAAGAAAAUGUCAAAUUAGGAAAAGCCAUGAGACAAACAAGUUUGAAAGAUCCUUAUGACAAGUUUGAAAGAUCCUUAUGACAAGAUGUCAAGAGAUACGGCAAUUCAAUACAUUUCCUGUUUCUUUUUUAGGAAUGAUCAUUCAAUGUUGCUAGAUCAAAAAGUUUCAAGUUGAUGAUUGAUGCUACUGGAUCCUAUGGUGCUCAUUUAAAGCCUCCAAACUAUCAUGAGUUGAGAGUUACACUCCUUAAAAAGGAGUUGGAUUACAGGAAGGGCUUAUUGCAAGUUCAUGCGGAGGAGCGAAUAAAAUAUGGAUGCUCAAUUAUGUCAGAUGGUUGGACUGAUAGGAAGAAUAGGACUUUGAUUAACUUUUUGAUAAAUUGUUCCUUGGGAACAAAAUUUGUGAAGAGUGUGCUUCUGAAUUUAUGAAGACCAAUGACAAGAUCUUUUGAUCUUUUGAAUGGCUUUGGUAAGAAGAUUGGAGAAAAGAAUGCGAUUCAAGCGGUGACCGACAAUGGAGGUAACUAUAAAUUGGUAGGUAAAAUUUUAGAAGUGACAAGACCAAAAUUAUUUUAGACUCCAUGUGUUGCACAUUGUCUUGACUUGAUGUUAGAGAAUAUUGGAAAGAUCCCAAAGGUUAAAAGAGUUAUACAAAGAGGCAUCAAGCUGUAAGCUACAUUUACAACCAUACAUUGGCUUUGAACACCAUGAGGAAACUCACUAACAAGAUCGAAUUGGUGAGGACUCGAGUUACAAGAUUUACUACCACCUUCUUAACUUUGCAAAGAUCAUAAGCAAAGGGUCAAUCUAAGAAGGAUGUUUACUUCAGAAGAAUGGAUGAAGUCAAAGGCAGCUAAGGAACCUAAGGGAAAGAAAGCAACAAAUGUUGUUCUCAUGGCAUCGUUCCAGUUUGAUGUUGCCUUCACUUUGAAGACUAUGGGGCCUCUUGUAAGUGUAUUGAGGUUGGUGGAUAACGAAAAAAAAAAAACUUACAAUGAGUUUCAUUUAUGAGGCAAUGGAUAGGGCCAAGGAGACAAUUCAAAGAGCUUUCAAUGAUAAUAAAGAGAAGUAUAAGAAUAUCUUUGCCAUCAUUCAUCACAGAUGGGAUUGCCAACUUUACCACCCUUUGCAUAUGACGGGUUAUUAUCUAAAUCCUAGGUUCUAUUACACCAAUUCAAACAUUGACAAAGAUGUUGAAAUGGAAGAUGGCCUCAACAAAUGUAUUGUCAAGCUUAGUGAAGAUGAUGAGUUUGAAGUUGCAGUUCACAAAGAGUUGUUAAUCUAUAAGAGGGGUGGAUACAGGUUUGGUAUGACUACAGCAAUAAAAGCAAGGACUUUGUCUCCUGUUGAGGGGAGGAAACCAUGGAGGAAAAACACCACACAUGCAAAUCAUUGCCAUUAAAAUCCUAAGUUUGACUUGUAGCUCAUCGAGAUGUGAGCAUAAUUGGAGUACCUUUGAGCAUAUUCACUCAAAGAAGAGAAGUAGGCUUGAGCACCAAAAGCUAAGACUUGGUUUUAAUUCUCAUGAUGCGAUUGAUCUCAUUGCUUUAAAUGACAUUGAUGAAAGCAAUGAGUGGUUAUUGGGAGAGUUGGAAGAAGAAGAAAAUGACUUUGUUUUUGAAGAGGAAGUUUGAGUUGGUUAGAUGUUGAUAUUGCAAAUGGGGUUGGUGAACCUUUGAAAUACACCAGGAGACAAACACAAAUGAAGAAGGUAAAUGAUGCAAAUGAAAAAGGAAAAAAGGUGGCACAAGUGGAAGAAGAGAAUGAAGAUGAAGGGGAGGAAGAGUACAUUUCUAAUGCUAGUGAGAAUGAAGGAGAAUUACAAAAAAAUGAUGAAGAUCUUGAAGAGGAUGAAGAUCUUGAAGAGGAUGAAGAUUGAAGAUUCUGAAUUUCCGAAUUCUUAUUAUUAUUUAGAAACUUGCAUCUGUCUACUUUAUGUUUAAGUACUAUGUUUGGUUUUAAUUUUUAAGGUUUUUUUUUUGUUUUUUUUUCAGCAAAAAUAUUUAAUUUUUAAUUUUUAAGUACAAUGAGUUUUUAUUAUUAAUGAUGAUUAGUACAUGAAUUAUGAGUUAUGUUUCUGUUUUUGAAUGCUUAUAUAUAAUAUUGAACAUCUAUAAAAAAAAAUUAGAAUAAUGGCCAUCCCACUAUCCGCUAUCCCACUUUAGGGGUUGGCCGCUCCAUGCCGCGAUGGCAGCAUUGACUACUAUGUUCUGUCAAAGAUAAAAGUAACUUAAUAUCUAACAAAAAACUUUACAAUUUUAUAACAACUAAAGUCGUAAAACAAAAUUUUAUAGGGACCAAAACCGUAAGAAAACUUUCUAUUGAUUAGGACAAUUGACUGAAGAAAUAAGGCAUGUUUGCCUAUAAAUAAGAGGGGAAGGGAGGUGGAGAGAGAGAUUUCUUGUCCAAAUUUGACAGAAUUGGGGGCUUUGGGCAUUGAGAAGUGCAGACCCUCAGAUCUGCAAUUAGGGACUUUUAUGAUUGAGAAAGCAGUGCAAGGAGUGGAUCCCAGACCUCUCGAAAUAUCUGGAUAUAGAAGCAAUAUCUGCAAUUAGGGGCUUCUCCCUAGUUUCAUUCAAUAAAAAAACCAUUCGUUCUCACUAUUAUGAUUAUGAUACUUCUAUCAUCCCUAGUUUGGUUUUGUUGAAUACAACAUGAUUUAUUGAUAUUAAUAUCAAAUAUUUUUUUAACUACAUGAAUAGCUUUCACCAAAUCCUAAAGGAAAUCUAGGGAUCUCCCAUUCACUUGCAGAUAUCUUUCCUUAAAAAUAUAACAAACAAAGCCAUUUCUAGGAAAACUAGUUGUUUUACAAGCCAUAACUAGUGCAGUUGCCAACAUAAGGAGGCUGCUGGUUAUGGCCACAUUCAGAACUUCUCGACAAAUGUAAUUAUUUGCUUGGCUUUGCACCUUUUUCAUGGUUAUAUGUUAUAGUGUUAGUUUGUAAAUUACAAUUUCCUGCUAGAAACAGACAAUUGCAUAGCCAUGUCUUCUGACAUUGGUAAUUUGGUAUAAUUUACUUUGGCUAUAUCAGUAUAAUCUGAAGCAGUCAGGAACUUAGGGAUAUGAAUUCUUCGCCUGAAAUCAUGGCUUAGCAGGGGUCAUGAGAUUUUCCAAUGUAAAGAAACAUUUUUACACAAAACAAAGCAAACUUUAAUACAACCCAAGAGUAGUAACGAAUUAUUUUCAAGCAUACACCGCACAAUGAUAGAAUUGGAAACAAAUGUUUGGGCAGAAAAAAUCACCCCCAAGAAGUUAAUAUUGCUUGACUAUCUUCAUAAUUGAUAACUUGAAACAAAUGAUCAAUAACAUUUCACUGUCUUGCAAAAAUGUAAAACAUAGGAAGGGAUAGGAAACUGAGCAUAGUUCUAGCACAAACAAUGGCAGCAGCCGAAAAUUUCUGAAGAGCAUGGAGUCAUAAACAGACCGGAUAUACACUCAACAAAUAAAUAAAAAGCAAGUCAUAAUACAGAAAUGAAAUAAAUAGUCACCUUGGCGAAGUCUCGACUUAGCUUCUUCACUGUUGCUGCCAAUUGAUCCCUCUCCUUCGUAAGCUUUAUCUACAAAAAAAAAAAAAAAA